GUGCCCUGGCUCCGCCCCCUCCCGUAACCCUCCCUGUUGUGCCCGAUCCUAGCACUCCUGGGCUACACCGCUUCUCUUUCUGAACCCAGGACCCACCCCUCCCAUGAUCCCGACCCCGACCCCGGACACCCACGGCUGAAGAGCCUGGCCACAGGCCUCCUCUUCCUGUAGCCAGGCUCAACCCCCUCUGUCGACUUCCCCUGUUGUGCCCAAUCCUGGUGCUGCCAGGCUAUGCCCCUCCUCUUCAUCAACCCAGGCCCGCCCCCUGCAUGCCCCUCCCAUGGCCCAGCCCCAGGAUGCCCUUAGCUGAGGAGCCUGGCCACGCCCCUUCUCCUGUAGCCAGGCUCCGCCCCCUCCCACGACCUUACCAGUUGCACACCCUGCUCUCUGAAUCUUUCCCACCUCCUGACUAAAGCACUGCAGUCAGCCAUGCUUUAUGUCCAGCAGAGACCCUUCUAGAGGGGUCGCCACAGAGCGCUGCUUCAUCUCUCUCCUCAGCAGGCGAGGAGCCUCCUACUAUGACCUUGGCCGCCUCCCCUGGGCAGGUUGAGGUGUGAGCACCUGCGGGCCUCACCAACCCCAGGCCUCACCUUCCCGCCAAGCCUGCCCCAGGCGUCCCUCAUGCUGAGCAGCGUGAGUGUGAGGGGCAGCAGAAUCUCACCCUGUAAUUCAGGCUGGCUUUGAACUCAUGGUGAUCCUCCUGCCUCAGCCUCCUGAGUGAUAGGAUUACAGCUGUCUGCUCAGAGCUCUGUCAUUGGAAGUCAAGCUUCAGGACAUUCUGUUGCAUGGAAGGAGGGUAGAGCAGCCAAGGGUGUUGGAAGCCCAUGGACACUUUGAACUCUACACCAACUGUCUCAUCUUCACCUUGACCUGGUCAUGGAGCCUCUGAGCCAAGGCCACUCAGUUGAGUGUACACUGGUUUGUGUGGUACAAUGCCAUGUCUGCCUACACUCUCAUGCCUGUGGGAUCUGUGGGCAAUGCACAGCUCCCUGCUUGAUUCCUGGAUUUGUUGACUCCAGUUAAAAUCAUCUGAGGCCUCUCCACCAAGGCUCUCUUGCUCUGGGUCUCCUUAGGCCAUCCUUCAAUCUCCACUGGCCAUGUGGAUUCUCUCCCUUCCUCACUCACCCUCUUGCUGCUCAAGGCAGCUAUGAGUUCUGUAGAACACAGUCCUCCCCUGACCUCUCUCCACCUGCUUGUCUCUUCCCAUCCCCACCUUAGCAGGCCCCUCAGUUUCUUGGGGAAGUUACAUGGGACGUGUGUUCAUGCAUUCUAAAUCCCACCUUACUGACUCUAACUGCCAAUGUGUUUGCCCCUGGGGAUCCAUUGGGAAGUGAUGAGCUCUUCUAAAGGGGUAUCUUUAUUUCAUCUCUGUGUACCUGGAGGGAGGAAGGAGGAGUUGAGGAGGAGAAAUCAAGAAAGCAGGAGAAUAGAGCAGAGGACAAUAUAAGAUGUAACUAGACAGGAUCUUCUGACUGAGAAAAAAUAGAAAUGAGACCCAGGAGUCAGAGGAUUUGCUGCCAGAGGUGGAAUGGGGUGUGACUUGACAUCUAUUAUCUCAUCUGGCUCCUCCAUUUCCUUGCAGAGAGGGUGUACUAUCACAGAGGGAGGUGAAUUUAUCUUGGUGUACAGAAAAUCUGGUAGGUGGAGAUCAACUUCAUUGGAAGAUUUGCUUUUGGAGGUGGAAUGGGGUCAGGCUCAACCUCUUUUGUAUGGCUUUCUCUGUUCUUCCUUGGAUGAAAUGCAUGCUGCCACUUUGGGAGGUGGUUCUGUCUCAGUGGAUGGAG
rnacentral:lncRNA from 1 species